AUCCUACGGGAGGCAGCAGUGGGGAAUAUUGCACAAUGGGGGAAACCCUGAUGGAGCAACGCCGCGUGAAGGAAGACGGUUUUCGGAUUGUAAACUUCUGUUCUUAGAGAAGAAAAAUGACGGUAGCUAAGGAGCAAGCCACGGCUAACUACGUGCCAGCAGCCACGGUAAUACGUAGGUGGCAAGCGUUGUCCGGACUUACUGGGUGUAAAGGGAGCGCAGGCGGGAAGCCAAGUCAGCUGGAAAAACUGCGG
rnacentral:rRNA from 1 species